GGGCGCUUAGCUCAGUUCGGUCCAGAGCAGCUGUCUUACAAGCAGCAGGCCGGGGGUUCAAAUCCCUCAGCGCCCA
rnacentral:tRNA from 1 species